rnacentral:rRNA from 1 species
GACGAACGCUGGCGGCGUGCCUAAUACAUGCAAGUCGAGCGGACUGAUUAAGAGCUUGCUCUUAUGACGUUAGCGGCGGACGGGUGAGUAACACGUGGGCGACCUGCCCUGUAGAUCGGGAUAACACCGAGAAAUCGGUGCUAAUACCGGGUAAUAUCUGAGAUCACAUGAUCUUAGGUUAAAAGAUGGCUCCGGCUAUCACUACAGGAUGGGCCCGCGGGGCAUUAGCUAGUUGGUAUGGUCAUGGCUUACCAAGGCGACGAUGCGUAGCCGACCUGGGGGGGUGAGCGAGCACGCUGGAGCUGAGGAACGGCCAAGACUCCUCCGGGAGGCAGCAGAAGGGACUAUUGCGGAAAGGACGAAGGUAUGACGGAGCAACGCCGCGAGAGUGAUGAAGGGUUUCGGCUCGUAAAGCUCUGUUGUUAGGGAAGAAACAGUACCGAACGAACUAGGUCGGUACCUUGACGGUACCUAACCAGAAAGCAACGGCUAACUACGUG